UUUAAAUGAUGAUUAUACAUUGUAUUCUGAAUCACAUUUUGAAGAAUACCAAAACGAGCUUUUUAAUUCUGAUUUAAU